rnacentral:misc_RNA from 1 species
AAGAAUCGCCCCGUUUUUUGAAAUGGGUUCUAUUCCCAAACCGUGUAUACAUACCUUUGUUGCUUUGGCAGGCCGCCUUUUAGGCGUCGGCUUCGGCUGACUGCGCCUGCCAGAGGAUUCAAAACUCUGAUAAUUAUGUCGUCUGAGUACUAUUAUAAAUAGUUA